rnacentral:rRNA from 1 species
GACGAACGCUGGCGGCGUGCCUAAUACAUGCAAGUAGAACGCUGAAGGAGGAGCUUGCUUCUCUGGAUGAGUUGCGAACGGGUGAGUAACGCGUAGGUAACCUGCCUGGUAGCGGGGGAUAACUAUUGGAAACGAUAGCUAAUACCGCAUAAGAGUAGAUGUUGCAUGACAUUUGCUUAAAAGGUGCAAUUGCAUCACUACCAGAUGGACCUGCGUUGUAUUAGCUAGUUGGUGGGGUAACGGCUCACCAAGGCGACGAUACAUAGCCGACCUGAGAGGGUGAUCGGCCACACUGGGACUGAGACACGGCCCAGACUCCUACGGGAGGCAGCAGUAGGGAAUCUUCGGCAAUGGACGGAAGUCUGACCGAGCAACGCCGCGUGAGUGAAGAAGGGUGUCGGAUCGUAAAGCUCUGUUGUAAGAGAAGAACGAGUGUGAGAGUGGAAAGUUCACACUGUGACGGUAUCUGACCAGAAAGGGACGGCUAACUACGUG